rnacentral:rRNA from 1 species
CUACGUGCCAGCAGCCGCGGUAAUACGUAGGUGGCAAGCGUUGUCCGGAAUUAUUGGGCGUAAAGCGCGCGCAGGCGGAUUGGUCAGUCUGUCUUAAAAGUUCGGGGCUUAACUCCGUGAUGGGAUGGAAACUACCAAUCUAGAGUAUCGGAGAGGAAAGUGGAAUUCCUAGUGUAGCGGUGAAAUGCGUAGAUAUUAGGAAGAACACCAGUGGCGAAGGCGACUUUCUGGACGAAAACUGACGCUGAGGCGCGAAAGCCAGGGGAGCGAACGGGAUUAGAUACCCCGGUAGUCCUGGCCGUAAACGAUGGGUACUAGGUGUAGGAGGUAUCGACCCCUUCUGUGCCGGAGUUAACGCAAUAAGUACCCCGCCUGGGGAGUACGACCGCAAGGUUGAAACUCAAAGGAAUUGACGGGGGCCCGCACAAGCGGUGGAGUAUGUGGUUUAAUUCGACGCAACGCGAAGAACCUCACCAGGUCUUGACAUUGAKGACAGAACUAGAGAUAG